rnacentral:rRNA from 1 species
GGGGAAUCUUGCGCAAUGGGCGAAAGCCUGACGCAGCAACGCCGCGUGGGGGAUGACGGCCUUCGGGUUGUAAACCUCUUUCGACAGGGACGAAGCUUUCGGGUGACGGUACCUGUAGAAGAAGCACCGGCUAACUACGUGCCAGCAGCCGCGGUAAUACGUAGGGUGCGAGCGUUGUCCGGAUUUAUUGGGCGUAAAGAGCUCGUAGGCGGUUUGUCGCGUCGGCCGUGAAAACCUGCAGCUUAACUGUGGGCGUGCGGUCGAUACGGGCAGACUUGAGUUCGGCAGGGGAGACUGGAAUUCCUGGUGUAGCGGUGAAAUGCGCAGAUAUCAGGAGGAACACCGGUGGCGAAGGCGGGUCUCUGGGCCGAUACUGACGCUGAGGAGCGAAAGCAUGGGGAGCGAAC